rnacentral:lncRNA from 1 species
UGCGGCUUGGCACCAGCUUUGCUCCUAUAUAGCUAACAAAUCACAGGGUGGGGUUAGCUUUCCUGCUAAGACCAUGGAAGAAGCGGUGUUUUCUUCUUCUUGAGUGUUUCCGAUGUACUCUGGACAUGACGUGCGGCGAGAAACAGACCUAGAUAAACAGAACAGAGACAGAGAUGUAAAACUUACUUUAGAAAUAUUGGGAGGAGCCUUGUUAUAAGUACCAAAAGUUCACAGCAAACUAUUGGAAGCGGGGGACUAAAAUGUCCACAAGGCCACCCAGCCAAAAACACAUAGAACAAAGGAUAAAACAUUACAGAAACAGAUCCAACUAUUAAAGGGCGAACAACACUGGUUGAUGCUUCUAAGCGGUUGCUCUUGUUUUCAGGAGCCACCUUAUUUGGUCUUCCAGAAAUGAACAUGCAUAUUUUGUCUAAAAAAUAUAAAUCUUUACUACUCUAUAAGUCCUUAUUGUAGGCGUGCACAUGUGCGCGUGUUCUGCCUCCCGCGAUCUUGCUCAUGAUAUUCCAGCCCCGCCGCCGCCAUCCCCGCCCCCAUCCGUGACACCCCACCAUCACCGCCGCGCCACACGCGACAACUCCAUCCCCCGUCCGCACCCCUACCCCGAGCAUCACAGCGCCUCCCGCACGAGGUCGUUGCGCUUGUCGAUCUGAUGGCGGCCCAUGGCAAAGGAGCAGGUCAGUCCCGUCCCCUAGCCUUUCCCGACUCCUCCCCUCUGCCUCACUCCAUCGUCGUCGUUGGGCCCGGGUCCAGAGGCGGAAGGCUAGGUGGGGGCAAACCCUAACCCCUCCCUUUUCUUCCAGCCGCCGCAACCUCUAUUCUCCCUCUGCCCCUCGAUAGCGCUCCCGUCGAUGCCCACCUCUCUCUUCUGCAGGCGGUGAUGGCAGCCACAGCAGAAAGCCGACGCUCGGCGUGAUUCCCACCCGUCGCGAGCCAAGAGGUUCGAGGUCAUUUUUGAGCCAAGAGGUUCGCGGCCACGGGAGCAACCCUACAGAACCAUCACCACCACCGCUCUCUCUUCCUCUGCUCUUCAAUGCCUGCCUGAGCUCACCGCACCUCGCCUCCUCACCGCGGAUCCUCCGUUAAUCCGGUAACUCUCUCACCAUCUCUGCAUUCACCCUAGAGUCCCUCUCUGCCUGCUCCUGCCAGCGCGUGGCGCGGGGGCGUGGUGCGGCUCUCCAAGAUUCGCCUAGCAUUGCUCGCUCGGGGUCGUGCCAAGCCGAUUCGAUCUCGCGCUUGCGCACUCCUACCGUGGAUCCGGCUAGAUCUUGCUAGAAUUGGGGCGUGCGUUUAUUUCAAAUGCAGCAGAUCCGCGUGCUUGCGCGCGUGAUCUGGCGUCGUCGCGGGCCUUUCGUUAACGAAAUGCAUGGCCCGAUCUGUGGUUUGGUGGUCAAUGCCAUGUUUUUUUUUCUUACUGUCUUCUGCUGGGAGCAAAACAGAAACAGAGAAUAGCUUCAAUUGAUGCCUUUUAGAACGGAUUCUGUAGAGCAACUCAUGGACACUUUCUUCUUGUUUUAACAAACGUGGCAUCGGGCGAGCUCUGGUGUAGGUAGAAAAUGGCCGAUGCCGAGGAUAUCCAGCCCCUCGUCUGCGACAACGGAACUGGCAUGGUCAAGGUAAGCCACCGGUUUGGUCACAUCUGUUCUUGAGAAUGCAAGGUUCUCGGUGGCUGCUGGGGCCCUAACAACAACACCAACCUCGGCAGGCUGGGUUCGCUGGCGACGACGCCCCGAGGGUCGUCUUCCCCAGCAUCGUGGGGCGCCCGCGCCACAUUGGUGUCAUGGUCGGGAUGGGGCAGAAGGACGCCUACGUCGGUGACGAGGUGCAGUCCAAGAGGGGUAUCCUGACCCUCAAGUACCUCAGCUUACACAUCACAUUAUUCCCCACAUUACAGCAAUCAGUGCAACAAUCAGAGCAUUUAUUUAGGUAUCCUGCAAGUAGUAGUAGUGUUAUGCGUGUUCUAAUAUUCUAUGUCACAAAUGUAAAUCAUUUUAUUAAUUGGGCACAAAAUCUUUACUACUCUAUAAGUCCUUAUUGUAGGCGUGCACAUGUGCGCGUGUUCUGCCUCCCGCGAUCUUGCUCGUGAUAUUCCAGCCCCGCCGCCGCCAUCCCCGCCCCCAUCCGUGACACCCCACCAUCACCGCCGCGCCACACGCGACAACUCCAUCCCCCGUCCGCACCCCUACCCCGAGCAUCACAGCGCCUCCCGCACGAGGUCGUUGCGCUUGUCGAUCUGAUGGCGGCCCAUGGCAAAGGAGCAGGUCAGUCCCGUCUGUAACACCCGGUUUUAAGGAACCAAGCCGGGUGCAUCUCAUACAUGCGCCAAGAAGACAACAUAUACAAUAACAGAGUGUAUAGAGAUAAAUGUCAUAAAACAUCAGAGUAUUUAUUACAUAGCGGAAGUCUUAUUACAAAAUAAAAUAAUAAAGAUAAAGCGAACUAAGGAUCGCCAGCGCCAAUGUCGACCGAGACACGCCACCUAGAUCAGAUCGAACUCCUCAGUGUUAGGCGGCUCCUCUUCGACCACCUGCUCUUCUCCUGUGGGGGGGGGGGGUGUGAGACAGCAAGAGUGAGCUCACAUACGUUCAUCGCUCAACAAGUUGUGGGGAAUAAUGUGGCAUAAACUCACCAAAGGUGGGAGUUCAUGUAGUGUAAGGCUGAUCAAUGAAACAGAGGUUGAGGCUGAGCAUUGCUUUUAUAAGUUGGUCAAAAUUUUAUUAGCAAUUACUAAGUGUAAGUAAAUACCAAACCUUAAUAAUAAUAAAGAACAGUAAUAGUAAAAUAAUCCCAAAUGCGAUGCAAAUGUCAAAUUGAAUUUAAGUUCCAUAAUUAAUCAUGUGAGGGUCCGAGCCGCUCUUGACCGUGAGCACGGCUAGUAUACUAGUUUUACACUCUGCAGAGGUUGCGCAUCUUUACCCACAAGUCGUGUAUCCCAUGUCGCCUGGGUUUGCAAGGCCCUUAGACACUACCGAGGUGAAUGGCUAGGGAUCCACUACGAGGCCUUUACAAAGUUCCACUAGCUUCCGAAAACCCGCUACAGUUUAUAGGAAGAUCCAGUACAGGGUUCCUGGCUGACAGCCAUCGCAGCAAAAUCAACCAGGGACCUCCCCGCACUGACCUCUCCCCUACUGCCCUUGCCCCUUUCGGGUAAGGUAGUCUUCCACUAGCUUUCCUAAUUAGUCAGCCAAGGGCGUCCCAUUAUACCCUUGUGGUAGCACUGUUUUCCUGGGUGGUCGCUCCAUGUUCCCAUUAAUUUAAUGAUCUUAACAUGAACAAUAAUAAUAACAAGUUAAUAACAGAAUAAUCAUGAAUAGUGUAUCUCCAUACCCAAUCCACAUAAAGCAAUAGCAAGUACUACCCAAAAAUAUUUCAGGGGUGAACAAGGUAUAGAGGUAAUCAAAACUGGGGUAACAUAAAGGCUCCCAUCAAAAUUAUCCUAUGCAGAUCAUUAAAAUUAAUAAGAACAUGGCUGGGAAAGUAAGUGAUCAAGGGCACAACUUGCCUUCAAUGAGCUCCUGCUCAGCUACUUCUACCUGCUGAACCUCAGUUUCCACAGUGGCUUGCUCGUCUAUUCGCAUCAACACAAUACAUACAUAGUAUAGCAUAAAUUAACAUCACAUCAAACAUGUAAAUAAAAUAUACAGUAAAAAUCUACACAUUAAAAUGAGAUCAUUGGAACUGGAAUUAUUAAAUUUGGAGUUAUAGAUUUCAAGUUAUGAAUUUCCUAAGGUUUAAUGUGAUUAAAAUAGGAUUAGAUGAUAAAUUAAUUUUCUAACUGAGUUCAUGUCAAAACAGUGAUACUAAAUGAUAGAGAAUCUUAUUACAAAAUUUUAGAAAUUGGAAUGGUUCAAUUUGGAGCUAAAAUGAAUUUUCUAUGAAUUUUACAAGUUUCUAGAUUUGUUUUUGUAUUAAAAAUGAAUUUCUAAUAUUAUUUCUCUGUUUUUAAACGUCUCUGGACUGGGCCUCAUUUUGCAGAAAGGUCAGGGGCUAGCGCAGAAGAUUCCCUAGACUCAGUAAAUAGUGAAUGAGGAUGGCGGGUUUAUUCUAAAGUAACAGAGGGUCUUUUCUGUGAAAUGUGUAUGGCGAAGGGGUAUUGUCUAUUCCUGGCCGUGCGAUCGCAAGUGGGCGCUGCAGAUUAGAUCUGCGCCAAGGUGAACCGGUACACAAUGAUAUUCGUCCGAUCGACGGUCGACGAUCCAGAUUUAAAAUAGCCUAAUCUAAUGUUGUCCGCCCAUUUUCCGAUCUCUGGCUCAGAUCGAAUAGGCGAAGAGAUCACUCAAAACCUAACCCUCACCGUUCCUGGACAGAGCAACGGUCCACGGUCGUUCUUCUUCUUCCCUCUCCCAGCGACUCACCACCCCCGACGACACCCCCACCACCGACGAACACGCGACGCCGGUGAUGGCCAAUCGGGCCCGCUACUGCACUAAACCCUAAUUAAAAGGUCCUACACGUUCGUAAGGAUAAAGCGAGCCAGUUGGAAGCUAUCUCACCGGUGACUAGGCGCUGGUUGAAGCUGCUCACGACGAGAGGCGGAUUCGCGGCGGCUUGAAAAUCACGGCGAGAAAUUGGCGAGGUUUCGCCCACCAAGUUGGCCUGGCGACAGCACGGACUCCUUCGGUGUGUCCCCGGGGAUACCCACGAUGAUUGCCGACGCCCCAGAGCCGGUAGCCGAGCAGACCACCCCGCGGCGGCGGCGCGAGCGAGAAUCCUGGCGGCGUCGCACUGGCAAUGCUCUGAUUCACCAAUUGCGCCAACCAGAGCUCCCACGACGACCAACCGACCGCCCAGAGCGACGAACGGAGGCGAGGCGACGGCGGCGGUCCCAACUCACACAGCGAAUCUCAAGCUCCCUUCUCUCUUGGCGGGUAAGUUCGGCGCGGCGGCUGAGGUUAAACGGAGAAGAGGUCUCGAGCGGUCGGUCAUAUACCCAGAGCGAGGUGGGCACAGGCGCCAACGGUCCCGGCCGACUCGCGCGGAGCCGUUGCGCGCGCGAUUCCGUCGCCGCGAAGACCGGUCGGGGAAGAGGACGGGUCUGCCAAGCGGGCCCGCCCAGACAGCGAUAGGGAAGCUAGCCGAUUGUAGAGCGGACGCUGGCGUGUGGUCCUGGCCGACAGGGCAGCGCAAGGCGACUGACAUCGCGACCCCAGGUGUCGGCGCAGUGGGUGUUUAGUUGGGCUGGCGCGAGGAUGGAAAUAGUUGUUGGGCCAGAUUAGGAGUCCGAGGCCCAGGUAAGGUUUUAAUCCUUUUCUUUUUAUUUUCUUUCCUAAUCUCUUUUCUUCCUUUCCAAAUUCAUAUUUCCAUUUCAAAUUUAAAUUCCACCCUUGUGUAAAGUUUAUCCACAGAUUAUAAGUGCAAUUUUAACAUACCCAAAAAUGAGAGGAAUUUAUUUAUUUAUAUAUUUAUUUUGCAUUGUACAAUAUUUAUUCCUUUCCUUCUCCAUUUUCAUGGUUUUGUUUUUAAUUUAGGGUUUGGAAGUCAUGGGCACAUUAUUACAUUGCUAUUGAUGCUUUUAUUUUUAUUAUCCACAAAUGCACAAUCAAAUAAACUCCAGCAUGAUGCACAGGUUAUCUAUGUGUUCUUUGUGUUAAUUAUCCACUUAUAACUAGGGUUGAUCACAUGUGAUGAUAAGUAGAGGACACAAAUUACUGAGAUUAUCUCUGUUCUCAUUAUUGCACUUUUGAGUAUUACAAAUCCUACCCCCCUUAAAAAUAAUCUCGCCCUCGAGAUUUAGGCAGAUCUAGGGAAAAGGUGGGGAAAAUCUAUACGAAGCUCUUCUUCUCUUUCCCAAGUUGCUUCAUCUUCACCGUGGUGACUCCAUUGAACUUUACACAUCUUUAUAACCUUAUUCCUUGUAACUCGAGUCAAAGUAUCCAAAAUCUUGAUGGGGUACUCAACAUAAGUCAAGUCCUCUUGUACACUCAGGUCUUCCAUUGGUAACUGUUCUUCAGGCACCCUGAGACAUUUCUUCAGCUGAGAUACAUGAAAUACAUCGUGAACAUCCGCAAGAUGAUCCGGUAACUCCAAUUGGUAUGCAACCUCACCCACUCGCUUUAAGAUUAAGAAGGAUCCAAUAAAGCGAGGGGACAACUUUCCUUUGACUUUGAAUCUCCUCAUACCACGAAGUGGUGACAUCUUGAGGUACACAUGAUCACCUUCCUCAAACUCCAGUGGUCUUCUUCUAUUAUCAGCGUAGCUCUUUUACCUGGUCUGAGCUACCCUCAAGUUCCCCCCUGAUUAUACAGACUUGUUCUUCUGCCUCUUGAAUAAGUUCAGGUUUAGAGAACUGUCUUCCUCUAGUCUGAUCCAAUAUAGAGGAGUCCUGCAUUUCCUGUCGUAUAGAGUCUCGAACAGUGACAUCUUUUAGACUGGUCUGGUAACUAUUAUUGUAUGAGCACUCAGCAUAAGGUAGACUCUUGUCCCAACUACUACCAUGCUGAAGGCCACAAGCUCUCAACAUGACCUCCAAUACUUGGUUAGUCCUUUUAGUCUGUCCAUCAGUCUGAGGAUGGUAGGUUGUGCUAGAAUUCAACUUCGUAUCCAUAUUCUCAUGAAAACUUUUCCAAAAUAUGGAGGUAAACUGUGAUCCUCUAUCCAAAAUGAUCUUCUUCGGUACACCAUGUAGAUACACAUUCUGAGCCAUAUAUACUCUUCCAAUUGAGAUCCCUUAUAAGUAGUCUUGACCGGAAUGAAAUGAACCACUUUGGUUAGUCUAUCCACAAUAACCCAUAUAGAAUCGUAUCCUUUCGAGGUGUGAGGCAAUCCAGUAAUGAAAUCCAUACCAAUCUCUUCCCACUUCCACUCGGGUACCAUAAGUGGGUGCAAUAGUCCAGCUGGCCUCUGGUGUUCAGCCUUAACUCUUUGACAUACAUCGCACAUGGCCACAUGUGCAGCUACAUCUCUUUUCAAUCCAUACCACCAAUACUUCCGCUUCAAAUCCUGAUACAUCUUAGUACUACCAGGAUGAAUAGAGUAAUCCGAGUCAUGGGCCUCUUUCAAUAUAAUCUCUCGAAGGCUUUUAAUAUCAGGAACACACAUCCUGUCCUUGAACCAUACGGUGCCCUGCUCAUCUUCCGUAAAUUCCGGAACUCGACCUUCAGUAAUCAGAUCCUUAAUCUCUUUUAUUUUAGCAUCACCAAUUUGUCCUUUGUGGAUCUCUUGCUCCAAAGUAGGUUCCACAUCAAUAGUAACUCCUUCAGUAUGAGCGACUAUCCCCAGGUUAAGUCUCCUGAAAUCCUCAACAAUCUCAUCGGGUAGCUGGGCAACAAUAGCUGAAUGAACAUGCUCCUUGCGACUCAAGGCAUCUGCAACCAAAUUUGCCUUGCCCGGGUGAUAGUGAAUCUCCAAAUCAUAAUCCUUAAUAAGCUCCAACCAACGGCGUUGCCUAAGGUUGAGAUCCUUCUGAGUGAAUAUAUACUUCAAACUCUUAUGAUCCGUAUAUACUUGGCACUUAGUCCCCAUAAUGUAGUGUCUCCAAAUCUUAAGUGCAUGCACAACUGCUGCUAGUUCCAAGUCAUGAGUGGGGUAGUUCAGUUCAUGCUUCCGCAACUGACGAGAUGCAUAGGCAAUCACAUGUCCUUCUUGCAUAAGCACACAUCCAAGUCCUUGGCCACAUGCAUCACAAUAAAUGUCAAAUCCCUUCUGUAGGUCUGGCAUAACCAAUACCGGUGGCGACAUCAACCUCUUCUUCAAUAGAUCAAAGCUGUCUUGACACUUCUCGUCCCACUUAAAUUCUUUUCCCUUCUCCAAAAGUGAAGUCAUAGGUUUAGCAAUCUUAGAAAAUCCUUCAAUAAAUCUCCGAUAAUAUCCAGCAAGUCCCAAGAAACUCCGAAUCUCAGUAACUGUAGUGGGUACUCUCCACUCCAUUAUCUCCUUAACUUUAGCAGGAUCCACUGAAAUUCCUCCAUUAGAAAUAAUAUGACCAAGAAAUGGCACCUCGCCAAUCCAAAACUCGCACUUGCUGAACUUGGCAUAGAGUUGAUUAUCUCGUAGCUUCUGUAGCACCAUCCUUAGAUGUUCCUCGUGAUCACUAUCACUCUGAGAAUAAAUAAGAAUAUCGUCGAUGAAUACCACGACGAAUCUGUCCAAAUACUCCAUAAACACCUUAUUCAUCAAGUUCAUAAAAUAAGCUGGGGCAUUGGUUAAUCCAAACGACAUAACAGUAAACUCAUAUAAUCCAUAUCGAGUCGAGAAAGCCGUCUUGGGAAUAUCCGAUGGUCUAAUCCUCAUCUGAUGGUAUCCCGAUCGGAGAUCAAUCUUCGAAAAUACUCUUGCACCUCUCAUUUGAUCAAAUAAAUCCUCAAUACGGGGCAACGGAUACUUGUUCUUCACUGUAACAUCAUUAAGAGAUCUAUAAUCCACACACAUCCGCUGCGAUCCAUCCUUCUUCUGUACAAACAAGACCGGUGCUCCCCAAGGUGAGGAACUCGGACGAAUGUACCCAGCCUCUUGUAACUCAGUUAACUGCUUCUUAAGUUCCUUUAGUUCUUCUACGGACAUCCUAUAUGGCCGUUUAGAAAUAGGGGCGGUUCUAGGUAAGAGGCCAAUAACAAACUCGACUUCUCUCUCAGGUGGCAUUCCUGGUAACUCCUCUGGAAAGACAUCCGGAAAAUCUCUAACCACCCGGAUGUUGUCACCAACAAACUCUCCGGUAUAAAGAACAUUGCACGCAUGGGUGAGGAGGUUACUGCAAUAUUAACUUGAAACCUUUCUCCCUUAGUAGUAGUGAGUUCUACGGUACCUCUACCACAUGCUAUAACGGCCUUUGCCUUUCUUAGCCAUGACAUACCAAGGAUCAAAUCUAUACUGCUUGACUCCAAUAUUAUAGCAGUAGCUCCAAAUUCUCUACCCAUAAUGGUUAAUGUCAAUCUACGUGUCAUUUGAUUCGCCACAAUAGGCCCUUUAGGUGUAAUUACUCUCACGGGUUUUCUCAUAUUGUCCAACACAUGUGCCCAAACCAAAAUCUCAACAUGACGCACAAUUUUAUUAGCCACUCGUGGGGUCAAAUAGACCUUUUUAUUCCUCCUAAAAUAGUAUCAUACCGAAUACUAACUAAAGGAACAUGUAGAUCUUACAAAUAGUAGUAAUUUAUAUAUAUGUUUAUGUAGCUUGGUGGAGCUGGUGGUGGUGGUGGAGGCAAUGGCACUUGUUGCUGCUGUUGCUGUUGUUGCAUUUGCUGUUGCAGUUGCUGCUGUUGCGCCCUCCUUUCUUGGCGUAUCUCAUCUCUCUCCUGGCGCAACUCCUGGCGUAUGUCUUCUCUUUCCUGACGCAUCUCUUGGCGUUCUUGCUGCAUCUGGGCACGCAUAUCAGCCAUAGUGUCCGCCAUUUGCUGCAUCACCGCCAUCUGAGCAGCAACCAGUGGGUCAACUCCGCCUGGUGGAGGAUUAGGGGGAUUCAUCUCUGCAGGCUGCGGCUGAGGUUGUCUAUAAAUUCUUCGAGUGUGUCGGUUAGGAGGCAAAUCAAUUCCACCACCCCUCCUGGUAUUGACCAUCUGAGUUAGAUACAUAUGGUAAGAAAGAGCAGUAGACAAGGCAGUAAUUACAAUCGUGUUACUUUGGGGGAUUUAUUAGCUAAGCAGAUUAAUAUUUCACCUACUAUAGCUAAUUCAAUACCUUAUGUUGGUACAUGCUAAGAUGUCCAUCUAUAAUAAUUCAAUCAAUCAAAGAAGCAAAUCAGACAUUUAGCAUCAGCACAAUCAACCAACAUUUUUUUAAGAAAAUAGUUUUAACUUUUGUUUCGGGUUCCCUAACUCUUAAGAAUGUCAUAGGGGUAGGGAUUCCAAGGUUUGAAAUCCAUCUUGUCUCAGAGUAGAAAAGGUAAGAAUGAUCAGAGUAGAACAGUAGAAGGUGAGAUAGGAUCAAGAUAAGGUAAGUAUGGAAUGAAUCAGAGUAAGAUAAGUAGAUAAGGGUUCUGUCCAUUUCUAUCUAGGUUUCGUCCUACAGUCAACAUUUGCCUCUGAUACCACUUCUGUAACACCCGGUUUUAAGGAACCAAGCCGGGUGCAUCUCAUACAUGCGCCAAGAAGACAACAUAUACAAUAACAGAGUGUAUAGAGAUAAAUGUCAUAAAACAUCAGAGUAUUUAUUACAUAGCGGAAGUCUUAUUACAAAAUAAAAUAAUAAAGAUAAAGCGAACUAAGGAUCGCCGGCGCCAAUGUCGACCGAGACACGCCACCUAGAUCAGAUCGAACUCCUCAGUGUUAGGCGGCUCCUCUUCGACCACCUGCUCUUCUCCUGUGGGGGGGGGGUGUGAGACAGCAAGAGUGAGCUCACAUACGUUCAUCGCUCAACAAGUUGUGGGGAAUAAUGUGGCAUAAACUCACCAAAGGUGGGAGUUCAUGUAGUGUAAGGCUGAUCAAUGAAACAGAGGUUGAGGCUGAGCAUUGCUUUUAUAAGUUGGUCAAAAUUUUAUUAGCAAUUACUAAGUGUAAGUAAAUACCAAACCUUAAUAAUAAUAAAGAACAGUAAUAGUAAAAUAAUCCCAAAUGCGAUGCAAAUGUCAAAUUGAAUUUAAGUUCCAUAAUUAAUCAUGUGAGGGUCCGAGCCGCUCUUGACCGUGAGCACGGCUAGUAUACUAGUUUUACACUCUGCAGAGGUUGCGCAUCUUUACCCACAAGUCGUGUAUCCCAUGUCGCCUGGGUUUGCAAGGCCCUUAGACACUACCGAGGUGAAUGGCUAGGGAUCCACUACGAGGCCUUUACAAAGUUCCACUAGCUUCCGAAAACCCGCUACAGUUUAUAGGAAGAUCCAGUACAGGGUUCCUGGCUGACAGCCAUCGCAGCAAAAUCAACCAGGGACCUCCCCGCACUGACCUCUCCCCUACUGCCCUUGCCCCUUUCGGGUAAGGUAGUCUUCCACUAGCUUUCCUAAUUAGUCAGCCAAGGGCGUCCCAUUAUACCCUUGUGGUAGCACUGUUUUCCCGGGUGGUCGCUCCAUGUUCCCAUUAAUUUAAUGAUCUUAACAUGAACAAUAAUAAUAACAAGUUAAUAACAGAAUAAUCAUGAAUAGUGUAUCUCCAUACCCAAUCCACAUAAAGCAAUAGCAAGUACUACCCAAAAAUAUUUCAGGGGUGAACAAGGUAUAGAGGUAAUCAAAACUGGGGUAACAUAAAGGCUCCCAUCAAAAUUAUCCUAUGCAGAUCAUUAAAAUUAAUAAGAACAUGGCUGGGAAAGUAAGUGAUCAAGGGCACAACUUGCCUUCAAUGAGCUCCUGCUCAGCUACUUCUACCUGCUGAACCUCAGUUUCCACAGUGGCUUGCUCGUCUAUUCGCAUCAACACAAUACAUACAUAGUAUAGCAUAAAUUAACAUCACAUCAAACAUGUAAAUAAAAUAUACAGUAAAAAUCUACACAUUAAAAUGAGAUCAUUGGAACUGGAAUUAUUAAAUUUGGAGUUAUAGAUUUCAAGUUAUGAAUUUCCUAAGGUUUAAUGUGAUUAAAAUAGGAUUAGAUGAUAAAUUAAUUUUCUAACUGAGUUCAUGUCAAAACAGUGAUACUAAAUGAUAGAGAAUCUUAUUACAAAAUUUUAGAAAUUGGAAUGGUUCAAUUUGGAGCUAAAAUGAAUUUUCUAUGAAUUUUACAAGUUUCUAGAUUUGUUUUUGUAUUAAAAAUGAAUUUCUAAUAUUAUUUCUCUGUUUUUAAACGUCUCUGGACUGGGCCUCAUUUUGCAGAAAGGUCAGGGGCUAGCGCAGAAGAUUCCCUAGACUCAGUAAAUAGUGAAUGAGGAUGGCGGGUUUAUUCUAAAGUAACAGAGGGUCUUUUCUGUGAAAUGUGUAUGGCGAAGGGGUAUUGUCUAUUCCUGGCCGUGCGAUCGCAAGUGGGCGCUGCAGAUUAGAUCUGCGCCAAGGUGAACCGGUACACAAUGAUAUUCGUCCGAUCGACGGUCGACGAUCCAGAUUUAAAAUAGCCUAAUCUAAUGUUGUCCGCCCAUUUUCCGAUCUCUGGCUCAGAUCGAAUAGGCGAAGAGAUCACUCAAAACCUAACCCUCGCCGUUCCUGGACAGAGCAACGGUCCACGGUCGUUCUUCUUCUUCCCUCUCCCAGCGACUCACCACCCCCGACGACACCCCCACCACCGACGAACACGCGACGCCGGUGAUGGCCAAUCGGGCCCGCUACUGCACUAAACCCUAAUUAAAAGGUCCUACACGUUCGUAAGGAUAAAGCGAGCCAGUUGGAAGCUAUCUCACCGGUGACUAGGCGCUGGUUGAAGCUGCUCACGACGAGAGGCGGAUUCGCGGCGGCUUGAAAAUCACGGCGAGAAAUUGGCGAGGUUUCGCCCACCGAGUUGGCCUGGCGACAGCACGGACUCCUUCGGUGUGUCCCCGGGGAUACCCACGAUGAUUGCCGACGCCCCAGAGCCGGUAGCCGAGCAGACCACCCCGCGGCGGCGGCGCGAGCGAGAAUCCUGGCGGCGUCGCACUGGCAAUGCUCUGAUUCACCAAUUGCGCCAACCAGAGCUCCCACGACGACCAACCGACCGCCCAGAGCGACGAACGGAGGCGAGGCGACGGCGGCGGUCCCAACUCACACAGCGAAUCUCAAGCUCCCUUCUCUCUUGGCGGGUAAGUUCGGCGCGGCGGCUGAGGUUAAACGGAGAAGAGGUCUCGAGCGGUCGGUCAUAUACCCAGAGCGAGGUGGGCACAGGCGCCAACGGUCCCGGCCGACUCGCGCGGAGCCGUUGCGCGCGCGAUUCCGUCGCCGCGAAGACCGGUCGGGGAAGAGGACGGGUCUGCCAAGCGGGCCCGCCCAGACAGCGAUAGGGAAGCUAGCCGAUUGUAGAGCGGACGCUGGCGUGUGGUCCUGGCCGACAGGGCAGCGCAAGGCGACUGACAUCGCGACCCCAGGUGUCGGCGCAGUGGGUGUUUAGUUGGGCUGGCGCGAGGAUGGAAAUAGUUGUUGGGCCAGAUUAGGAGUCCGAGGCCCAGGUAAGGUUUUAAUCCUUUUCUUUUUAUUUUCUUUCCUAAUCUCUUUUCUUCCUUUCCAAAUUCAUAUUUCCAUUUCAAAUUUAAAUUCCACCCUUGUGUAAAGUUUAUCCACAGAUUAUAAGUGCAAUUUUAACAUACCCAAAAAUGAGAGGAAUUUAUUUAUUUAUAUAUUUAUUUUGCAUUGUACAAUAUUUAUUCCUUUCCUUCUCCAUUUUCAUGGUUUUGUUUUUAAUUUAGGGUUUGGAAGUCAUGGGCACAUUAUUACAUUGCUAUUGAUGCUUUUAUUUUUAUUAUCCACAAAUGCACAAUCAAAUAAACUCCAGCAUGAUGCACAGGUUAUCUAUGUGUUCUUUGUGUUAAUUAUCCACUUAUAACUAGGGUUGAUCACAUGUGAUGAUAAGUAGAGGACACAAAUUACUGAGAUUAUCUCUGUUCUCAUUAUUGCACUUUUGAGUAUUACACCGUCCCCUAGCCUUUCCCGACUCCUCCCCUCUGCCUCACUCCAUCGUCGUCGUUGGGCCCGGGUCCAGAGGCGGAAGGCUAGGUGGGGGCAAACCCUAACCCCUCCCUUUUCUUCCAGCCGCCGCAACCUCUAUUCUCCCUCUGCCCCUCGAUAGCGCUCCCGUCGAUGCCCACCUCUCUCUUCUGCAGGCGGUGAUGGCAGCCACAGCAGAAAGCCGACGCUCGGCGUGAUUCCCACCCGUCGCGAGCCAAGAGGUUCGAGGUCAUUUUUGAGCCAAGAGGUUCGCGGCCACGGGAGCAACCCUACAGAACCAUCACCACCACCGCUCUCUCUUCCUCUGCUCUUCAAUGCCUGCCUGAGCUCACCGCACCUCGCCUCCUCACCGCGGAUCCUCCGUUAAUCCGGUAACUCUCUCACCAUCUCUGCAUUCACCCUAGAGUCCCUCUCUGCCUGCUCCUGCCAGCGCGUGGCGCGGGGGCGUGGUGCGGCUCUCCAAGAUUCGCCUAGCAUUGCUCGCUCGGGGUCGUGCCAAGCCGAUUCGAUCUCGCGCUUGCGCACUCCUGCCGUGGAUCCGGCUAGAUCUUGCUAGAAUUGGGGCGUGCGUUUAUUUCAAAUGCAGCAGAUCCGCGUGCUUGCGCGCGUGAUCUGGCGUCGUCGCGGGCCUUUCGUUAACGAAAUGCAUGGCCCGAUCUGUGGUUUGGUGGUCAAUGCCAUGUUUUUUUUUCUUACUGUCUUCUGCUGGGAGCAAAACAGAAACAGAGAAUAGCUUCAAUUGAUGCCUUUUAGAACGGAUUCUGUAGAGCAACUCAUGGACACUUUCUUCUUGUUUUAACAAACGUGGCAUCGGGCGAGCUCUGGUGUAGGUAGAAAAUGGCCGAUGCCGAGGAUAUCCAGCCCCUCGUCUGCGACAACGGAACUGGCAUGGUCAAGGUAAGCCACCGGUUUGGUCACAUCUGUUCUUGAGAAUGCAAGGUUCUCGGUGGCUGCUGGGGCCCUAACAACAACACCAACCUCGGCAGGCUGGGUUCGCUGGCGACGACGCCCCGAGGGCCGUCUUCCCCAGCAUCGUGGGGCGCCCGCGCCACAUUGGUGUCAUGGUCGGGAUGGGGCAGAAGGACGCCUACGUCGGUGACGAGGUGCAGUCCAAGAGGGGUAUCCUGACCCUCAAGUACCUCAGCUUACACAUCACAUUAUUCCCCACAUUACAGCAAUCAGUGCAACAAUCAGAGCAUUUAUUUAGGUAUCCUGCAAGUAGUAGUAGUGUUAUGCGUGUUCUAAUAUUCUAUGUCACAAAUGUAAAUCAUUUUAUUAAUUGGGCACAAAAUUAUUUAACAUUGCUGCACUGAUUGUUGUUCCUGAAUUUAAGAAAAUCUUUAUGUGAUACAAGUUCCAGAUGUUGUUGUGGCGUUAAUGCCAAUAUGUGAGGCUUUUGGGUCAAUACCACCGCCUCCUAAUCACAAGUCUACCAUUCAUGGUGAAAUAUCUGUUUAUAGAGUCUUCUCUUGUGCAUUUCUUUGUCUUCUUCGCUUGUGGAAGUUUUAUAGACCUCCUCAAGAGUAUUGUAUUGCUGGUCGUGGAGGCUCAGUAAAGCUGGAACUGACUCUGGACUAUCUGUUGUUGAUGCACAAUAAUCACAUUGAGUUCUCAAAUUCGUCUGCCUCUAAUAGGGAUUCUUGCAAUGAUAUGGGCUCAGUAAAUGAGGUUCCUGCUCAGCCGAUUUAUAUUGAUUCUUUUCCCAAGCUAAGGGCUUGGUAUUUCCAGAAUCAAGCUUGCAUCGCUUCUCCACUUUCUGGUCUUUGCAACAAAAACACUCUUCAUCAAUUUUAGUAUGACAUUGAUUCAGACUGUUGCUUCUGAAACCAUUUUUACAGGUUCUGCAAACCGAUCAUAACAAAACCAAAGGUAGCUUUGAAGCCGCAGACUCUGUCUCCACAACCUGAAGCCCAAGCACCUCAUGAUCCUCAAACACCAGAGCAACAACAAAGCGGGACUGGUGUAGGUGUGUAGCUGGUGAGCCGGGUAGUGAAGGAGGUGUGUACCAGGCCUCCAGUGAGCAAAUGGGCAUGGUGCCAGAUGCAUCUGCGGCCGGUGGCAGGAAGGUCGAGCUGGAUGGGGACAUGCGAUGGACAUCACAGGUUGGCCCCUCCAGUGAUCCAUCUCAAACACUAGCCAGGUUUCCUCCUUUGCCACCCUCCUUUGGCAGUUCUCUUCCUAACGUCGCCGUAGGUUCCCUUCCCUACUAUUUUUGUCUCCCAUAGCUCUUAAAAUUUUAAGUUCCCUGUUUGCAUAAAGGCCACAGGAAAAACGUUGAAUCAAAGCAAACUUGAUGCUUACCAAAAGCAUGUUCGAUGAGUUACUCAGAUUCAUGGCCCAGGAAUUGAAUCUACACGGUUUAAUAACUAUUUGCAUGGCUCUAAAUGCUUAAUUAGGUUUGCUCAUCGUUCCUCAGUGCUACUUCAUCUUGAUUUUCUGCUGAGUAUACAGGGGAUGAAUGAGGCUGCUCAUGGUGGACAGAACAGAAGACGAAAUGAAUCGCAAGGGGAAACUAACAUGCGAGAGAGGAGGAGGUAGCCACAACCAAAGAGCUUGGUUCAAUACUUCAAUGUAAUCUCUAAUUGGUAUUUGGUUCACAAUGUAUGGUAGUUAUGCGCACCUUUUAAUCUGUAGUAUGUUUUUAGUGCUAGAUUUGAACUAACAGUUUAGAGGGAAGGUACUUAUGGUUCCAUUCAAGCACUAUAAUGCCUUAGAUGAUAUAUUAUUGGUGGCAUUUUGUGUAACUCAAUAAGUUCAGCAGGGCUUAGGUACACAUGGACAGAUUUUGGGAACACUAACCUUCGCAUUACUACUACGUGUUUCUUAGACAUAAUUGUUUCUGUUGAACAAUUAGAAAGAAAUCCAACCAGGAACAUGAUUUAAUUAUUAAUCACUGUUUUUUAAGCUUAUAGGCUUCACAUAUUUUUAAAAUGAACCGUUCCUAGGUGCAUUUUGUAUUCUAACCAGCUCUAUUGUUAUGGUCAUAAUCGUUAAUCAGUAAAUUUGUUGUGUAUUUAGGGCUAGAAUAAUGAACGAUAUGAAGAUCAGGUAGCAUUAUAUAUGUCAAUAAGAAGCAGAGGAGAGAAGCAGCCCGCAUCGCAGGAGACAAGGACUUCACUUGUUUGGCCAGUUCAGGACUUCAGGUAACAGACUAAGUGGCUAACAACUAGCAAAUAGAAUAGUGAAUAACAUGUUCUGUGUAUUUCUGAAUCCUAAUUAUUUUUUGCUUUAGUUUAAAAUCUUCUCAAGUAUCUAAUGAUAAAUAGCAAAUAUAUUGUCCAUUUAUUAACAUAUAAAUUUUUUGAUGGCUAGGAUUGUAGCGAUGAGGCAGGUGAACUUGAUCCACUGAUUUUCGAAAAGAAAUCACACUGAAAAGAAACAAGAGAAUAGGAAACAUAACUACAAAUAGGAUAUAUCUGAACCCUACACUGUAAAAUCUGGUUAUACGUUUCCUAAAGUAAAUUCAAACAAUAAUACGAAAUAAUAUGUCUGAACCUCAUAACUGAAGUGAUGGGAAUGUUUUCUAAUGACUAAAUUGCUGGAACAUACUUAAAAGUUCUUUAGUUCCACGGACAUUGAAGUUGUGUAUAUGAAGCAACCAUCACAUCUGGGAGAUAAUUAGGCAGACAGGCUUAAGAAAAUUCCAACACUAAUGUUCUAUCGCUAACUUCUUGGUUAGGAUGCUGUCGAUGAUGUCCAUGCUAUAUUCCCUCGCUUCAUGCUUAACAAUGAGGGAGAGACUAAGUGAGGUAACACUGCUUGUCUUUGUUUAUGCUUAAUCUCCCUGGUAUUGUACUUGCUUCCCUGCCUGAACUGAACCUUCAGGUGGCUGUUUAGCAGGGGCUGAAGGCCGUUGGUGCUGUCAGAAUGUUUUUUUGGAGUUUUGGUGGAUGAUGCUCAGUGACUGCAAUGCAAAGGAUCCUUCUGUUUUGUAUAUUGAAUGAGAUUACAUCACUGUUUUUUCUUAGCGAUAUGUUGAGCUCAUGUGCUCGUUUAUGUUAGUCGAUCUCUGGCUCUUGUAGUAACUUGGAAAGCUUGCUGCUUUUUUUAAGGGCAUACAUGCCUGUGAUAUGUGGUCAUGAUCAUUUUUCUCUCCUGUUAUUUUAGUUGUCGUAUCAUAAAUGCCAUGUUUGCAUUGGUGUUCCAACAUGUCAAUAUUAUUGAAUAAAUGUUUGCAUUAGCGGCAGCGGGGACGACGCUAAGUCGAGCAAUGGCAAAGCGGCCCGUGGUGGCAGUAACGGUGGAGAGAAGCAGGGGGAUGAAUCCAACGGUGGCGGGAUACUUAGCGUUGUGGCUUCCAGGAUUGGCGUGGUCGUGUCCGGCGCCAACGGGGACCGCAGCGGCAGCGCUGAGGAUGGUGCCAAGACGAGCGCUGGCGACCCUGGUCACGGUAGCAAGGGCGAGGAGAAGGGGCGUGGUGUGAACGGUGGUAGAAUAGUCGAGCAGAUCAUUUCCAAUCUGCCCUCAGGUAUAUGAUUACGGAAGCUACACUUUGUGAGGAAAAUAUAUAGACCAUUCGUGAGUCGUGACAUCAUUUUGUAUUGGAGUUUGAACUGACAAUCUUUUUUUCCUCUCUCUUUACUGCAGAUGAUCAGGCGCCUGAUGCCGAUGAAGCUUCCUUGCUCAUCGCCAUUAUCGAAGAUUAGCUCCAUGUUCCGAAGGCUCUCUAGGUCGUCCUCAAUGCCAGGAUCAAAUCAUCAGCUGAGCCGGAGACUGAAAACAAUAAAGAAAAGCAAGCAGCUGGUCAUAGUAAACAUCAUGUAGCGAGGCUUAGCAGAUUGCUUUUUUUCACGUUAGAAUCAGUCCACAUGUCCUCGACACGGGCUAGAUUUGUUCUAGGAUUAUUUUUCCAGUAGUAAGCCAUGUAUCCAUGGACAGUCCACAGCGCGACGUCUAAUGUAACAUCAUCAAGGUUCUUUUGACUAUCCCAUAAGAAACCAUUCCUUAAGACAACCGAUAUUGUGAGUUGAUAACCAACAACUAAUGUUAGCAUGCGAUUGUUCUGCAAAACAACUAUGCCCUCUUUCUGUAUCACUUCCUUUUCUCUUUUAUACUAUGAAAAGAUCUUACAUGGUACUGCAUGAUGACCCUUAUAACUUAACAAAUCAUUAUUGGACAGAAAUGAUGCUUUCAUUUCAGACAAGCCGUAAGAACUACUGUGGCUGGCAAUUUUAUGUGGCAAUGACAAAAUCAAAGAUUUAAUUAUCGAACUAUACAUUUAUCCUGACACAUUUAUUGCGUUGACGGAUAAAAUGCAGAAGGAUGAAAGGAGUUCUGUGUGGAUCACUUGGUUACAUGAGCAGCGAAGGGAAGAACAACAAACGUUCAAUGACUUCAGUCAGCAUCGCCAACAGAUUACAACAAUAAAUAGAGACCCGUUGGCUACAGAUGUCGAGAAUAACAUAAAACACAUUCGAGAACAACAACUCUGGUCAAUGUCAUCGUGCAUCGAUAUUGAUCAGGGUAGAUCUCUUAGGCGUUCCGGUAGUUCAGUAAUUACGAAUCCACUGGGAAUAAGUAAAAAAAAUUAGGUUACAGUCCUUCAUGAGUUGUAGAUGACUGAAUGUUGCAAACAAUCAGGUUCUUCUGCCAAUGCUGCUCAUGCUCAGCUAAGGCUCUGAUCCAUAGGGAUUGAGGGGAUCAAAUCCCCUACAAGUCAAAAUCCUCUUUAAUCCCUUCCAAUCCACCUCAAUCCCUAUGGUUUUGGAAUCAAACAAACAUGGCCAUUUCAAGUAUGCCGAUCAAAGAACUUCUCAAUUGCCACUGAGAACGCAGCAAACCCCACACAUCCAAAGCAUGUAGCUUUAGGGCCACCUGUAAACAUAUAAAAUCCCUUAGUGUGAUAUUGAUAAUGUUUUCCACACGGAUUUUGCAUAUUAUAGUGAUGUUUGUCGUUCCGUAUUAAUGUUUCAUACAAAUCUUUUACUUCCGUCGCAACGCACGGACACAUAUCUAUAACAUACAACAGAGACAUGUAAGUUAUCGUAUUAUAAUUCGGUUCUGUUGCAACGCACGGGCACCCUACUAGUAAUAAACUAUAUGUAUUUAUUAAAAGGAAGAACUACCUUAGAGUUAUUCUGAACGUCAUAAGAAGAAAGCGUUGAAUUGUCCUCUAUCAACUUCUCAUUGUGAUGUGUCAAGCAGUA